GUUUUCACAAGCGUGGAUUUCCCCUGGUUGGUUGAAGACUAGAUCAGAAUCUCUCCAGAGUCUGCUGUGAAGAUGCUGUGGAAUUCCUGGUGUGUCUGAUGAGGUGUUGCUGCGCCGAGGCUGUCAGACAGCUGGCUCUCUGAGAAAACCUCCAGACCCUGUUGCUGCCCCAAGGAAUGAGAUUUGUAGUUAUGCAAGCCAGGAGAAUCCCACUGAUUUGCUCUUUUACAGGUAGAGGUACCAGAAAAACCCAAUCUGCCACAUAACCAGAGGGGAAACAUAUAAAGAAUCAGAGCCUUGCUCUGUCACCCAGGCUGGAGUGCAAUGGCGCG